rnacentral:rRNA from 1 species
GACGAACGCUGGCGGCGUGCUUAACACAUGCAAGUCGAACGGAAAGGCCCUGCUUGCAGGGUACUCGAGUGGCGAACGGGUGAGUAACACGUGGGUGAUCUGCCCUGCACUUCGGGAUAAGCCUGGGAAACUGGGUCUAAUACCGGAUAUGACCUUCCAUGUAGUGUGGGGGGUGGAAGGAUUUAUCGGUGUGGGAUGAGCCCGCGGCCUAUCAGCUUGUUGGUGGGGUAAUGGCCUACCAAGGCGUCGACGGGUAGCCGGCCUGAGAGGGUGGACGGCCACAUUGGGACUGAGAUACGGCCCAGACUCCUACGGGAGGCAGCAGUGGGGAAUAUUGCACAAUGGGCGGAAGCCUGAUGCAGCGACGCCGCGUGGGGGAUGACGGCCUUCGGGUUGUAAACCUCUUUCGACAGGGACGAAGCUUCGGUGACGGUACCUGUAGAAGAAGCACCGGCUAACUACGUG